GACGAACGCUGGCGGCGUGCUUAACACAUGCAAGUCGAACGGUGAAAGCGGAGCUUGCUCCGCUGGAUCAGUGGCGAACGGGUGAGUAACACGUGGGCAACCUGCCCCUGACUUCGGGAUAACUCCUCGAAAGAGGUGCUAAUACCGGAUACGAAUCCUGCAGGCAUCUGCGGGAUUGGAAAGUUUUUCGGUCAGGGAUGGGCCCGCGGCCUAUCAGCUUGUUGGUGAGGUAGUGGCUCACCAAGGCGACGACGGGUAGCCGGCCUGAGAGGGGGACCGGCCACCCUGGGCGUGGGACACGGCCCAGACUCCUCCGGGAGGCAGCAGUGGGGAAUAUUGCGCAAUGGGCGAAAGCCUGACGCAGCAACGCCGCGUGAGGGAUGACGGCCUUCGGGUUGUAAACCUCUUUCAGCAGGGAAGAAGCGAAAGUGACGGUACCUGCAGAAGAAGCACCGGCUAACUACGUGCCAGCAGCCGCGGUAA
rnacentral:rRNA from 1 species